UACAGAGGUCCCAAGCGUUGUUCGGAUUCAUUGGGCGUAAAGGGUGCGUAGGUGGCGUCGUAAGUCGGGUGUGAAAUCUCGGGGCUUAACUCCGAAACUGCAUUCGAUACUGCGGUGCUUGAGGACUGGAGAGGAGACUGGAAUUUACGGUGUAGCAGUGAAAUGCGUAGAGAUCGUAAGGAAGACCAGUGGCGAAGGCGGGUCUCUGGACAGUUCCUGACACUGAAACGCGAAAGCCAGGGGAGCAAACGGG
rnacentral:rRNA from 1 species